UUAAUGCUGUAUCGGAACCCUUC
rnacentral:miRNA from 1 species